CCUACGGGAGGCAGCAGUGGGGGAUAUUGCACAAUGGGGGGAACCCUGAUGCAGCGACGCCGCGUGGGUGAAGAAGCGCCUCGGCGCGUAAAGCCCUGUCAGCAGGGAAGAAGAUGACGGUACCUGCAGAAGAAUCCCCGGCUAACUACGUGCCAGCAGCCGCGGUAAUACGGAGGGGGCGAGCGUUAAUCGGAAUUACUGGGCGUAAAGCGCGCGUAGGCGGGAGGGCAAGUCAAGUGUGAAAUCCCCGCGCUCAACGCGGGAACUGCCUUUGAAACUGGGAAACUGGAGUGCGGGAGAGGCUAGUGGAAUUCCAGGUGUAGGAGUGAAAUGCGUAGAUAUAUGGAGGAACAUCAGUGGCGAAGGCGACUAGCUGGAAAAUAACUGACGCUGAGGAGCGAAAGCGUGGGUAGCAAACAGGAUUAGAUACCCUAGUAGUC
rnacentral:rRNA from 1 species